AAAAUUAGAGUGUUCAAAGCAGGCAGAUCCAAUUCUCUGCCACCGAAUACAUUAGCAUGGGAUAAUGGAAUAGGACCCUGUCCUCCUAUUUUCAGUUGGUUUUGACACGCGAGGACCAGGGUAAUGAUUAAUAG
rnacentral:rRNA from 1 species